UACGUAGGGUGCGAGCGUUAAUCGGAAUUACUGGGCGUAAAGGGUGUGCAGGCGGUUUUGCAAGAUGGAUGUGAAAGCCCCGGGCUUAACCUGGGAAAGCCAUACAUGACUGCAAGACUAGAGUGCGUCAGAGGGGGGUGGAAUUCCAAGUGUAGCAGUGAAAUGCGUAGAUAUCGAGAGGAACACUCGUGGCGAAGGCGGGUUCCUGGACAUUAACUGACGCUGAGGCACGAAGGCCAGGGGAGCGAAAGGG
rnacentral:rRNA from 1 species